GCCCCCAUAGCUCAGUUGGUUUUAGAGCAUCAAGCUUAUAUGAUCACGGCUCACGCUGGGUUGUAUGCAUCUUGGAGGUCAGCGGUUCGACCCCGCUUGGGAGCA